ACCUGUUGCAUGGUGGAAUAGUAUUGUUGUGAAUCAAACUGAGGGAUCUCAUCUUCUGCUCCUACACCUUGAAGAGUUUUAUGGAGCUGAUCUGCCAUCUGGUUAAAUGAAGGAUCUUUUGCUAUCUGCUCAGCCAAUUCCUUGAUGCUUGGGUCAUUAAGCAGACCACUCAUGGCUGAGAAAUCAAAAAGCCAAUCCAGGUCCUGGAGAAGGGGAAGAUCUUCCUUGUCCUGACUGUGACUCCCCAGAAGACAUUUCUGAUUUUGGGAUUUUGCCUUCUGAAGAACCUGUUUUCUCGUCAGAGGGAACAUCCUUGUUGGAAUUGGACGCCAUGGGAAGAAGCUGAGGAAGCUAUGUAGCAAACAAAUGAAAGACUUUGGUUUGAGGAUUAGAUUUGAAACCCUAUCUCUGUGUGCGUGUGUU
rnacentral:misc_RNA from 1 species